UGUGUCUCCGUCAGCCACAGUAAUAUACAGUGAAUCAGCUGAUAUGUCGGGAAGUAUUAACAACCAUUCUAUAGAACCUGAUGCUGUCACAGAGCAGUCUUCCAACCAGACAAACUGCUAUGUCAGCGGAAGUGUAUUUCGGGCAUGAUGACAUCCAGUUGGCCAUUGAAGAAAGUUUGUUAAGUAUUUGUUAUAGCUAGGAGAAAGACAGCUAACUGUUGAAGAAAUAGGUUGACAAAAAACUACAACCCUCAGAGCCACAAACAGUAGUUGUUCAACGGGAGAGGCUGUUACAAAUGACAUUUGUUGACAGUUGUUGGUAAAUCGACUUUCAACUGGUCACAGCUGCUGUGAAUAGUAUUAUCUGGUGAAGAUUGAGAUGACCAUGGAGGUCCAAAGAAAGAAUAUCUCUGGUUGCUGAGCAAAGCUGUUGCAGAGACAUCCUUGUGUGGCCCGAAGGGAAACAUGAUCUUCGUCCAUGAUGGUGGGUGAAAAGACUGAGCGCAUGACAUUUGAAAUGUAUGUUAAUUGACCAGGCCUACCGAUGAUCAACACCAUGCUGUACUCUUCCUGACUGACCAGGGCAUAAAACCCCAUGUAGACAUUCUUACGCUUUCCCAGACCGAGGAAAUUUCUCGUGUUAAGGAGACACUACCAGCACAGCUUCCACAUCUUCAACUACUCCAGUAACAAGUAUUAGUGGUUUAUCAUCAGGCCGAGGCUCGAAUCAGUGUGACUUGGGCCUGAUUCGUGCCGAAGCUGUGAUGUAGAGAUGCAGCAGAAUCAUGCUUGACCAGAUGAGAAAACUGGUAUGAAGAGGUACUGUGACAACUAUGUCAGGGUCUUGCCAAAUGUUAUGCUGUUGACUUUUAGAACAGGGUCUCAGACUACCAGCUGGAAGGCCUGUCUUCAUCAGAUUGAUAUGAAAUGGAUAUCCAAGGCAUUAUUCACAUAUAAUACAGAUGGGAAACCUGAGCUGGAUGACAGAUAGGUAGGCCGUUUGUAGUACAACCCUCCCCUCCCACAGUUGUUGCCAACUCUGCGACCAAAAGUGGACAGUUACUUUGGACAUAGGCUAUUUCUGUGGAUACAAUACGUAUCUGGAAGAUGAAGCUUCUUUGUCCAUGCUGUAACAAUACAGAGUUAACAAAUGCAGGUCCUUACCACCUGACCUGUUUUGUCUUGGACCUUGAUGAGUAUUACAUACUGGCAAUAGAGUGGCUAAAGUACCCAUCCUGCAAUAGCUCCGUAUCAGCUGGAGAUCAACUAGACACUGGUACAUGUUCAAAGUUUCCAGUACACAUGAUGUAUAAGACAGCUUUUGAUGAAUGGGUCAUUAGCCUAAUGCAUCAGCAUG